GCCAGGUGUGGUGGCUCACACCUGUAAUCCCAGCACUUUGGGAGGCAGAGGUGGGAGGAUCAUUUGAGGUCAGGAGUUCAAGACCAGCCUGGCCAACAUGGUGAAACCCCGCCUCUA
rfam:Pan troglodytes isolate Yerkes chimp pedigree #C0471 (Clint) chromosome 2A, whole genome shotgun sequence.